rnacentral:rRNA from 1 species
UACGUAGGGGGCGAGCGUUGUCCGGAUUCAUUGGGCGUAAAGCGCUUUAAGGCGGUUCGGUAAGUCGGGUGUGAAACCUCCAGGCUCAACCUGGAGACGCCACUCGAUACUGCUGUGACUAGAGUUCGGUAGGGGAUCACGGAAUUCCUGGUGUAGCGGUGAAAUGCGCAGAUAUCAGGAGGAACACCGGUGGCGAAGGCGGCUCUCUGGGGCUGUUCUGACGCUGAGGCGCGAAAGCUGGGGGAGCGAACAGG